UUCCUGGCAGAUUAAAACUGUGUGCCGGACCGAGACUCGAACUCGGGAGCCGAGUUCGAGUCUCAGUCCGGCACACAGUUUUAAUCUGCCAGGAAGUUUCAAUCCAUCUGCUUGUUUAACACCAGUCUUGAUCUCAAAUUCU